UACGGAGGGGGCUAGCGUUGUUCGGAAUUACUGGGCGUAAAGCGCGCGUAGGCGGCUUUGUAAGUUAGAGGUGAAAGCCCGGAGCUCAACUCCGGAACUGCCCUUGAAACUGGAUAACUAGAAUCUUGGAGAGGUCAGUGGAAUUCCGAGUGUAGAGGUGAAAUUCGUAGAUAUUCGGAAGAACACCAGUGGCGAAGGCGACUGACUGGACAAGUAUUGACGCUGAGGUGCGAAAGCGUGGGGAGCAAACAGG
rnacentral:rRNA from 1 species